GGGAAUUGGCUUAUUGCACCACAUGUGUUUUUUAUUGAACAAAUUUCUUUGGUGGCGGGAGCAAUCCUACCGCCAGAGGUUAUAACUAAACCAAACUUUUUAUUUACAGUCAAACUUGAUUUAUUAUUACAAUAGUCAAAACUUUCAACAACGGAUCUCUUGGUUUUCGCAUCGAUGAAGAACGCAGCGAAAUGCGAUACGUAAUAUGAAUUGCAGAUAUUCGUGAAUCAUCGAAUCUUUGAACGCACAUUGCGCCCUUUGGUAUUCCAAAGGGCAUGCCUGUUUGAGCGUCAUUUCUCCCUCAAACCCCCGGGUUUGGUGUUGAGCAAUACGCUAGGUUUGUUUGAAAGAAUUUAACGUGGAAACUUAUUUUAAGCGACUUAGGUUUAUCCAAAAACGCUUAUUUUGCUAGUGGCCACCACAAUUUAUUUCAUAACUUUGACCUCAAAUCAGGUAGGACUACCCGCUGAACUUAAGCAUAUCAAUAAGCGGAGGAA
rnacentral:rRNA from 1 species